rnacentral:lncRNA from 1 species
UCUCUGACUAAGUCACUUAUAGACUCAUCGUUUAAAUUGAUCAUUCGUAUACCUUUGUCAUCCCCGAAUAAAUCAAUUGAUUACCUUUCAGUGACUAUGCCAUAAAUGUCAGAAUCCAAUGCAAUUGAUUUCAUUAUUUGUUUUGUCUCCAGGUUUAUUAUGGUAAUAGUACAUGGACUAUUAGAUGAUACAGCCAAUGUAUUGUCUUCUCUGAUGUAUAGUAUAUCAAACGGGUAAUACGGCAUCUUGAUCUCAAAGUCUUUUGAUCCUUUAUUGCUGAAUAUUUUUAAUCUUUUGCCAAAGUAGUAAGUAAAUACCAAUCUAUCAUCUGGCAGUAUGCAACAUCCGAAAAUAGUAUUCCUUGAGUGUCGAUGGUCUUGUGUAUCGUUAGCUUUAUAUUUUCUAUAGAUUUUGUUGGAACGAUUGGAAUCAUCAAUUGGGCUUGUCUGGCCUUCUUCUUGAUCAGAACUAUGUCGCAUGGAUUAGAUUCAAUACGCACUUCCCCAAAACUUCUGAUAUCGGAUAUGAUAUUCUGGAUAGAGGUGUUGAUCUGAUAUGAAAGAGUAUGCUGUUCCUUGCCUUCUACAAGAGCCUGCAAUUUGUUUUUCUUUGCUAUAAACGUCCUCUUCUAUUUGCUUAAUUGAGAGAAACAUUUGAAGAUCUGUUGCGUGUUUCUUGAUGUUCAAUAGGCUAUUUUGGCAUUCUCCUAUUUCUUUUUCUUUCUUUUCUAGCGAGGACAUUAACUGACAAAUUUUAGAGUUUUCUUUUUCUUCGAGCUCGUUGAGUUGUUUCAUUAAAUCUUCUUGUAGUUUGUCGAGAUGGUUGUUGAUUUGUAUUCUG